AGCGAGUGCCUACGGGAAGCAGCAGUGGGGAAUAUUGGGCAAUGGGCGCAAGCCUGACCCAGCAACGCCGCGUGAAGGAAGAAGGCUUUCGGGUUGUAAACUUCUUUUGACAGGGAAGAGCAGAAGACGGUACCUGUCGAAUAAGCCACGGCUAACUACGUGCC
rnacentral:rRNA from 1 species